CCCUCUCGGGGCCGCCCGUCCCGGCCGCUCCCCCCGCCCCGCUCGGCAGGCUGGUGGGACCCUGGGACCCUGGACCAAGGAGUGCCCCAUUGAAGGGCUGCCUGAGAGUGGAUGCCCUUGCAGGAGCAGAGCAGCAAAAACAGGACCAGGAAGGACCUAUGGUUAGUAAAUUUAACAAUAUAUGGGAGAGUUUGUUGCCACAGCAGCACAAAACAGCCAGGGGACAUCAGUGUCAAUUGUAGCCCUUCCCAGUUAGGUCAUGAGUUAGCGUAUGAAUGUAUUUGUACCCGGAGACUUCAUUACAAACAUCUGGCUGGGGCCAGAUUUGCUGCUGCUUGUUCAGUCACAGAUAAUCACUUAGCACAGGUGUUGGAUUAAAUUGCAAAUUCAAGAAGGGCCAAUAUCACACAAGUUCAUACGUCCUGAUUCUGCAGAUAAAGCUGACUGAAAAUGUUCAGUGAAAUUUUUGGUGGGGAAACAAGUAUUAAAUCCAUUGUGUGUUAUAGGGAGGGGCUGAUUAGAAAAACACUUUGUUUUAAAUUUAUCAAAAUGAAAUGUCCUUAUAUUUGUUGUGAGAGUCCUUACUUGGAGGACUGAAUUAUAGGAAGGGGAAAGGCAAACUAGAAGCAGCACUAGUAGAAGUGCUUCUAAUUGCUGUGGCGAUGUCUGGUGAGUCCUAACCAACCCUUUUUAUAAAUUGUAGAUUUUCCCCCCUAGGUGUACAUUUCAGUUCUAUUGAACUUGUCUGGAAUCAGGCUUGGAAUCUUGGCUCUAGCCUGGCAAGAAGAGUUUUCUCUGCAGGCUGAGUCACUGGUGUCCAUCCAUCUCCCUCCCAGAGAAGGCUGCUGUGCUGCAAGUGCCACAGAGGGACUGAAGCUGCUUUUUCUGCAGGUGCUCUGGUGACAAAUGGCUCCUUCUUCCCCUGUUUAGUCUCACUCUGACACAUAAAUCCAGGCAUAAGCAUGCUAAGCUGGGUGGAAGCUGAAAUUGCCUGUUCAUAGUUCCGUGUUCUGGCUGUUUUACCCCUGUUUGUUUGAUGAGCAGCAGAGUGAGCUGAACUGUAGGUGACACACAGCAGCACAAGGAGCAGCUGGAGACUCUGCUGAGGCUCUGUGAUCCAGGGCAAUACAUCUCCAGUGGCUGCUGGGACUCAUCAGCACCUUGGUGAGACAAUGCUGGGGACUGCUGGAGUGUGCUGAGAAGCAGGGCCGAGGCUGGUGGAGGCUGGAUGGAUCUCUGCCCCUGGGCAGCUCCAGGCAGAAAGUGCAGAGGCACAAGUUCAUGAUCCAUGGGAAAGCACGUAGGGCUUGUUGGCAAAAGUUGUGUUGCUAAUUAAACAGGAGCUGGGAAGUUGCUUGAGGGGGCCAGAGCCCUGUGAGAAGCUGUCCAGCCUCUUUGGCACUUUCCAGUAAUUAAAGGGAGUAAUAAAUAAAUGUUCUUUGGAGCAGGGUGGGCUUGGGGAAUGUCUUACCCUGGCAUAGAGAUGGAGCACAGGGAGCUGCACUACCCCUGCACUGCAAAGGCUGAGAUCUGCUUAAUGUUUGGGGACAGGGAGGGCAGCAAUGAAGUGAUAAAUACAGCAGCAGAACAAUGCAAACAAUAUUUAGUGAAGGAAUGAAGUUCCAGUGAUGGAUAUUUUGGUGGCAAAUCAGCAGCUGUACAGCACAAGGGGUUGGGGACAAUUUGUGCUCAAACUCUGCUCCCGAGUCCUUCAGCUGAAAAAGGCUAAAUCUGUGCAGGAGAAUUGGAAUAUCAACAGAGAAACACUUUAUUAACUUAUUGACACUUACCUUUGGAUUUCACCUGGUUUACCCAUUUUUCCUCUGCAUAGGAAUGCAGGUUGUUUUCUAUUUGAUAGCCCCUGUCUGUGACCUCCAUCACAGCUCUCUGAAGAGGAUACAGAGCACUGAGCAUUGUGUCCACCCAGAGACAUGGAAUAACUGCACAGCCAAUCACUAAUAGAAAUUCAUCACUGGAAAGUAAAGUCAUUUCCCACUGAGAAGGGUCUUAGCCUUUCCUGGAGUGGGAUGCUAAUUGUAGGCUCUUUUUGUUCAUACUGGUUCUCAAAAGCAGCAGAAUCACUUUUCUGUAAGUAGCUGAAUUAAUCUAGUUCAGCUUUUUUUUUUUGGGGGGGGGAUGAGGGUGGAAGAAAGGAACUCAGGCUAUGAACCAAGCAGACAAAGAGAGACUCUAAGCCACAAAGCUGGCAAUGGAAUAUGCUGUUGGAGAAAAUCCAAGAGAAUGGAAGGUAUUACAGACCUACCAUUGCAUCUAACUGUGCAUGGCUUAUCAGUGCAGGAGUUUUUAUACUGGAGUAACUCAGAGCUAGCGAGAUUAGUCAUGAUUUUCUUAACAUUCGUUGGAUCUGCAUCAGUGGCCAAACAGGAGGUAUCUGCAUGUGCAAAACAACGUCUCUCUAACGUCAACAAGCGUUGCUGUGGCAAAAGGCCAAACCCAGCCAAGGCCAAUUCACCCAUGGCUCAUUGUUUGAAUCUGUGUCCCUGUCUCGGGUCAGGGCUGUGCUGGUUCAUCUGCUGCCUUCUCUCCCCAGGCUGCCUAUCUAGCAGCCACUGUCAUCUCGUUCUGCCCUCAGGUCAGGCCCAACUCAAUCAGCAUUGGUUUACUAUGAAAUGUCCAGAGUCAUUUUACUCAUCGUGUCUUUCUCAAAGCACUCCAGGAGAAAGUUUAAAUAUUAUUUCUGGCUCCUUCAGCCACUAACUCUCAUGAUGUUUUCAUGGAAGGUUCUAUGCUGCUCUGUAACAUGUUUUUCAUUGAUUUACGUUGACCUAAAAACAUUGCAGUAAAAAAAAAAAAAAAAGAAAAAAUGAUUCUGUUUGUGCUUUCAAGGCAUUUCUGUGUGAAAUGACCUGAUGUUCGUGGAGCUGUGGCACAGCUAAAGCAGCAAAGGUUGGGUGUGGGGUACCUGCCAACACAACCAUGCUGGGGUGAUAAAUACAGUUCAGCACAUGGGCUGGGAGCAUUUUGACUAAUGAAAGGUUGUUAGCAUUUCCCUGUGGUGGUCUGUGCUUGGAGGGCAGUGACUGAGGCUCUUGGCAUCGCUGGCUUGCCAAGGAAGCGGCAGUGGGGUGGUGGGACUGUCAUUACACCAGAGGCUUUUAGCCAAAAACUAAUGACACGGAGGCAAAACCAGCAGUCUGCAGUCUGUUAUCUUUAAAUAGCACAGUGAAUUAUACGUGUGCAAAAAUACAGCAGGUACUGCAGGGCUGGCCCACACCCCUCACACCACUCUGAUACUUCACUGACUGCUCCAGUCCUGUGCCUGGUUUGGCUGGGGUAGAGUUACUUUUGUUGGCAGUGGCAGGUGUGGGUCUGUGUUUGGGAUUUGUGCUGAGCACAGUGGUUAUAAUAGAGAUGGUUUUGUUAUUGCUGAGCAGGGCUUACCCAGAGCCAAGGCCUUUCCUGCCCCUCGUACGGCCACGCUGGGGAGGGGGCUGGGGCUGUGUGGGACAGUGGGAGGGGACACAGCCAGGACAGGUGACCCCAACUGAUCCAAGGGGUACUCCAUACUGUAUGAUGUCAUGCUCAGUAAAUAAGGUGGGGGGACGUUUGGAGCUUUGUCUUCUCAAAUAACUGUUACAUGGGAUGGGGCCCUGCUGUCCUGGGGAUGGCUGAACACCUGCUGCCCAUGGGAAGCAGGGAAUGAAUUCCUUUGCUUUGCUUAUGUGUGUGGCUUCUGCUUCACCUACUGACCUGUCUUUAUCUCAACACAUGAGUCGUCUCACUUUUACCCUUCUGAUUCCCUCCCCAGUCCCACUGGUGGGGGAGUGAGCGAGUGGCUGCUGGGGCUUGGCUGCUGGUUGGGGUUAAACCACGGCAACAUGAGAUCUUUUUGUUCUAAAAGUCUCAACAUCAGACUAAAUUUAGUCCUGUAGAAAUCAAUAAAUGGCUGCCAACUUUCACACAAGGGCAGAGCAAGGUCAAUGUUAAAUGUUUCUGGGCAAUCUUGCCCAUGGUUUCAGGCUCUUUGCUUCUCAAGUUGGGAAUGACAUGAUGAGAAACUUUCCAUUGCUUUAAAUAUUAAGGAAUCUCUGAAAAUACUUAGAAACAAUUAACUCAAAACGUUCUCUGUUUUGGGGUUUAAUUUUUUUUUUUGAAGUACAGUAUGUUCUUCUGCAGAUUUUCAUCCAAUCUACAUGCUGGUGUCCCAGAGGCUUCUUUCUGUGGUGCAUUUGUAUACCUAUAAUGAAGAAUGUCCAGGGGCACACAGACAUGUAAGGCAGACCGAGGUGGAGUGUCAGUUUUUAGUUUUAAGAUCAGUGGAUGAAGGGCAGCUGAGGAUGAGCCGUUUGUCUGUUGGAGCACAGAGAAAAACAACAGUUCUGCACAUGGCACUGGGCACCAAAGGGGAACAAACACUCUUUACAUUAUUAAGUUGUGCACAGCCAGCUGGGAAUUAUGUAAAACUUCACGAAAAUAUUUUGUCUCAAUAGAACAUAUGAAAAUAAAUUGCUUUUGGAGAUUUU